UGUGGUCUCACCUCAGCCUCCUCUUUUCCAGGCUGAACAGGCCAAGUGACCUCAGCCGUUCCUCAUACAUCUUCCUCUCAAGGCCCUUCACCAUCUUUGUAACCCUUUUCUGGACACUCUCCAGUAGUUUCACAUCCUUUUUGGACUGUGGUGCCCAGAACUGCACAUGGUACUCAGGUGAGGCCACACCAGCGCAGAGUAGAUUGGGACAAUCACUUCCCUCGAUCGACUAGCGAUGCCGUGCUUGAUGCUUGAUUCCAAAUAGGUUUUGUUUUGCCUCUGUUCUGGUGUUUGGAGAGAGACAUCUGUGCAGUCGGACAUGGACCACAUGGCAGCUGAGGUAAAUCCCAUUCAUCUGCCCACAGAGAAAUUCAUCCAACUAGGCAGAGCUCCCUGAGGCUUCUAGUGCUGCUCCAAGAAUGGUUCUCUCAGCUUUCCUUAAGUUUUUCUUUUCUGGUCAAGGAAAACCCCAAAUAAAUGCUACUUGUUCUCUCAGGUUUGUGUGGAAGCGGGGAUUCAUAACUGCUAAUUCCUACUGACUCCUGCUCAGGCCAAAUGCUGCUGUGGGGCCAACUGCACUGGUGAAGUCAGGGCACAAACCGUCUGUCUCCGCACCGGCAGGAUCUGUCCUGCGCUGUGCUGUUACUGGCUGCCAUGAGGGCUGGGGAGCCAGGAGCUGUGGGGGCCACCCCGGGGUGGUGAGACAGGGUCUAGCAGCCAGGGCCUGUCCCACCAUCCCAGCCAUUGAGCAGGGCAGGCUGGGGCAGCCAGGAAUCUCUCAGGUACUUCAGGCUGGCUGUCAUGUGGGAUGGCACUGUGCAGAGUGGUGUCCAUGGAGACGGGGACAGUGUUGUUCGAAGGUGGAUUAUGUUGUUUAGUUUGUAAAUGUAUUGUAGGCUUUGGCAUGUUGAUUUGGUACCCUUUGGCUACUUAGAUGUUUGCCACACCAAGGCUCAUUAUUCCUGGGCUAGGUUCUGUACUGUGAGGAGUGCUGAGCUCUGAAAGAGGAAAGCAGCGCAGAGCAGAGCUCAUGGAGAGUUCUUGUGAGUAUUGUGCAUUGAAGACAGAUACAGAGUUUACUUUAUGUUGGGAUAUUUUUGAACUGG
rnacentral:lncRNA from 1 species